GACGAACGCUGGCGGCGUGCCUAAUACAUGCAAGUCGAACGCACUCUCGUUUAGAUUGAAGGAGCUUGCUCCUGAUUGAUAAACAUUUGAGUGAGUGGCGGACGGGUGAGUAACACGUGGGUAACCUGCCCUAAAGUGGGGGAUAACAUUUGGAAACAGAUGCUAAUACCGCAUAAAACCUAACACCGCAUGGUGUAGGGUUGAAAGAUGGCUUCGGCUAUCACUUUAGGAUGGACCCGCGGUGCAUUAGUUAGUUGGUGAGGUAAAGGCUCACCAAGACCGUGAUGCAUAGCCGACCUGAGAGGGUAAUCGGCCACACUGGGACUGAGACACGGCCCAGACUCCUACGGGAGGCAGCAGUAGGGAAUCUUCCACAAUGGACGAAAGUCUGAUGGAGCAACGCCGCGUGAGUGAAGAAGGUUAUCGGAUCGUAAAACUCUGUUGUUGGAGAAGAAUGUAUCUGAUAGUAACUGAUCAGGUAGUGACGGUAUCCAACCAGAAAGCCACGGCUAACUACGUGCCAGCAGCCGCGGUAAUACGUAGGUAGCAAGCGUUGUCCGGAUUUAUUGGGCGUAAAGCGAGCGCAGGCGGUUUCUUAAGUCUGAUGUGAAAGCCUUCGGCUCAACCGAAGAAGUGCAUCGGAAACUGGGAAACUUGAGUGCAGAAGAGGACAGUGGAACUCCAUGUGUAGCGGUGAAAUGCGUAGAUAUAUGGAAGAACACCAGUGGCGAAGGCGGCUGUCUGGUCUGUAACUGACGCUGAGGCUCGAAAGCAUGGGUAGCAAACAGGAUUAGAUACCCUGGUAGUCCAUGCCGUAAACGAUGAGUGCUAGGUGUUGGAGGGUUUCCGCCCUUCAGUGCCGCAGCUAACGCAUUAAGCACUCCGCCUGGGGAGUACGACCGCAAGGUUGAAACUCAAAGGAAUUGACGGGGGCCCGCACAAGCGGUGGAGCAUGUGGUUUAAUUCGAAGCAACGCGAAGAACCUUACCAGGUCUUGACAUCCUUUGACCACUCUAGAGAUAGAGCUUUCCCUUCGGGGACAAAGUGACAGGUGGUGCAUGGUUGUCGUCAGCUCGUGUCGUGAGAUGUUGGGUUAAGUCCCGCAACGAGCGCAACCCUUAUUACUAGUUGCCAGCAUUAAGUUGGGCACUCUAGUGAGACUGCCGGUGACAAACCGGAGGAAGGUGGGGACGACGUCAAAUCAUCAUGCCCCUUAUGACCUGGGCUACACACGUGCUACAAUGGAUGGUACAACGAGUUGCGAGACCGCGAGGUUUAGCUAAUCUCUUAAAACCAUUCUCAGUUCGGAUUGUAGGCUGCAACUCGCCUACAUGAAGCCGGAAUCGCUAGUAAUCGCGGAUCAGCAUGCCGCGGUGAAUACGUUCCCGGGCCU
rnacentral:rRNA from 1 species